rnacentral:lncRNA from 1 species
UUGGGCGAGGCUACUCAUUUCGACUCACCAGUGCUCACUACCUCAUUGGUAAACUACUGCAGUCACCUUUCUUCUGAUCUUACGAUACUACAUUUAUGAGGCCUUAAGUUAAAAUACACUGAAAUUUCCAUUAUUUCAGUAUUCGACAGCAGGCUUUCCAGAAGACUCGCUUCCUCUCAACUGUUACUCCUCCUAUAAGCACCAGCCACAAUCCUCUACAAGACCUCAUCGCUGAGGAGCAGCAGACAUCUUCCAGCUCGGAUCGGAUCCCUCACAAAGGUGUUUAAAACCAAAGUCAAGGGCAGACAGUCACUGUCCUAGAUGCGAUGGUCAUAAACCAGGUGUUUGGGUUAAUGGACCUUCUCAUAUACGCAAAACCCGGAGAGACUGUGCUCACUUUCCCAUUCCGGAUUUUUUUUUCUUUGCUCUUUAGACACAUCUGGAUCCAACCUAGGAUCUUAAUUUUUGUCCUGGAGCUACACCUCUGCUAAGCCAUCUGCCUGAUCCUGAGUCUUCUUGUCUAUUUC